AGAGUUUGAUCCUGGCUCAGGACGAACGCUGGCGGCGUGCCUAACACAUGCAAGUCGAACGGGGAAUAGCAAUAUUCCUAGUGGCGAACGGGUGAGUAACGCGUAGACAACCUGCCUUUUAGACUGGGACAACGUUGCGAAAGUGACGCUAAUACCGGAUAAGGUCUCUUGGGUGCAUGCCUAAGAGAAGAAAGAUGGCCUCUUUACAAUGCUAUCGCUAGAAGAUGGGUCUGCGUCUGAUUAGCUAGUUGGCGGGGUAAGAGCCCACCAAGGCGACGAUCAGUAGCCGGUCUGAGAGGAUGAACGGCCACACUGGGACUGAGACACGGCCCAGACUCCUACGGGAGGCAGCAGUGGGGAAUCUUCCGCAAUGGACGAAAGUCUGACGGAGCAACGCCGCGUGAGUGAAGAAGGUUUUCGGAUUGUAAAGCUCUGUCUUGUGGGACGAAUGGUGCCUAUGUAAAUAAUGUAGAUACAUGACGGUACCAUAGGAGGAAGCCACGGCUAACUACGUGCCAGCAGCCGCGGUAAUACGUAGGUGGCGAGCGCUGUCCGGAAUUAUUGGGCGUAAAGCGCGCGCAGGCGGGUAUAUAAGUCUGUCUUAAAAGUGCGGAGCUUAACUUCGUGAUGGGACGGAAACUAUAUAUCUUGAGUGCAGGAGAGGACAGUGGAAUUCCCAGUGUAGCGGUGAAAUGCGUAGAUAUUGGGAGGAACACCAGUGGCGAAGGCGACUGUCUGGACUGUGUCUGACGCUGAGGCGCGAAAGCCAGGGGAGUGAACG
rnacentral:rRNA from 1 species